rnacentral:lncRNA from 1 species
AGCACCCAGCUAGAAGUUUGGUGGCUCAGAAGUUCUGUCUCGUAGAGCUUAUAUUCAUUCCGUCCCACAUAAACUUUACCCCUGCCAUAGCCAGACGCUGCUGUGGAUACCAGGACUAGAAAGAGUCCAAGGACAAAAUUAAAACAACUUAGAGUCAGGAUCUUAAUUGGCUUUAUUUUCAACUCUGGAAUUAGGCGACCCUUCAUGCUAUAAAAUAGAAGCGUUCCAGCGAGCUGAGCAGCAAAGAUUUGUUUUAGAGAUAGAAAAAGGGCUGAAGAAAGCAGAAACAAAAUUGUUUCAAAGUUACUUUCCUUGUAAGGCUUGGAUAGAGGCAGAACAAUAGAAAAAUAUAGUAACUGAUUAACAUCAGGUUACUUUUUUGAAUCAUCCGCAUUGAAACUGGCCUGUUUGAGAAAUUUGGUUGUUCCUCUCUAAUCCUGAUUGUUCAUAAAGUCAGAUAAACGGCUUAGUUUAAGCUUGGUGGAGUGGAACUUUACCAUGAGUGACUUCGUUUUUAUUUUUAGCCUGAUCUGUUGGAAUGUAAGUGCAGGAGCCUAGUAUAAAACAUCGGCCUCUUAUAUUUUUUAUUUAAUAAGAGGUACCCCUUGCCCUGGGGAAGCAGACAAUCGAACAAAUGAGUAAGUUAAUUGUAGAAAAAAAUGAUGUGGCUGAAACAAUCAGGGGCUUAGAUAAUGGACAGGAGAGAUGGAAACGUCACCUGUAGAUAAAGUCAUGGAAAGCAUGAUCGAAGCCAAAGAACAGCGAUUACAAAAGCUCGGAGAGGGAAAAGAAUAUGGGUCUCACUAUGUAGUUCAGACUGGCCUUCAACUUGGGAUGAUCCUCCUGCCUCCUGAGUGCUGGGAUUGCAGGCAGGAUCUCACUAUGUCACUAACUUGCCCAGACUGGGCUCAAACGCAGAGAAGUCUGAUAAUGUGAGAAAUCACGCCAUGAGGAGUCCUGGAUAGCCAGGGGAAAGACCAUGUGAAGAGAGUCUGUGGCCCAGCCUCCCCGCCGAGGACUUGUGUGCAGAAGCCAGCUUGGGUGGCUGUGCUCAGUCAGGACUUCCACAGACUGCACCCCCAGCGCCUCUGAUUGCAACUGCGUGAGCGCCGGUACAUGGGAACCAUUCAGCAAAGCCCCACUCAUCUUCACAGCUCUGAGAAAUAAUCAUAAACUGUGUUAAGUCGUUAAAUUCUGAAGUUAUUUGUUGCUGUGGUUGGGAUACAUGUUCCCCAGAGGUCAUGGGUUACAGGUCUAUCCCCAGCUUGGAACUACUGGGAGGCAGUGGAAACUGUAAGACCCAGGGCCUGGUGGGAGGUCAUUAGUCUUGUGGCUGUGGCCUUCAAGGGAAUUCAACGACAGUCCCUUCUUCUUCCUCCCUUUCACUUCCUGUCCAGUGCCACACACUCCCCACCACUGCCAUCUGCCAGCAGAGGCCUAAAAGUAACAGAUCCGCCUGAUUAUGGACUGGGACCAGAAUAAACAGC